GUUUUUUUUAUUUUUAUGAUAUAGGAGGCAAACGAGCAGACGGAUCGCCUGAUGGUAAGCGACUACCGUCGCCCUUGGACACCCGCAACACCAGAGGGGUUGUAGGUGCGUUGCCGGCCUUUAAGAUGGGAGUACGCGCUUUUCUUGAAGGUCGUAUCGGUCCGGAAAUACCGCUGGCGAUAGUUCAUUCCACAGUUUGGCUGUGCGAGGCAGGAAGUUUCUGGAGAAACGCACAGUUGAGGACUGCCAACCAUCCAAGUGAUGAAGAUGGUAAUGUUGUCGCGUAGGGCGAUGGCGAAAAGAAGCGGCAGGGAUUAAUCCGAACAAUUCCUCGGAGCACUCCCC